UCUCUCCCUUUGUAUUUUCAGCAGCAGAGUUGUUUGCCAAAGAGUGACUAUCAAGGCCUUCACUAAUGUUCUAAGGAGGGCACAAUGUUCCACUCCCAAAACAAUGUAACCCAGUGGUUUUCAGCAAGGAAACUGCUAAAUUUCCCAAAGGAUUCCUUACUGUUAGUAAGACUUCUGAAAAUUAACUAGUGAGAAUAAAUGCCACGAAAUCUAACAUUAGUACUCUGAACUGAAUUUGCUUAUGCCGGACCUCUAAACAAUAAAUUGUGUUCUGCUGUGUUGCUAUGCCCGUUCAUGAGGCAUAGCCAUUUUAAAGUAAAGCAUCUUGGAGAUUCCAAAAGAGCAGAAUGGGGAAGGGGUGUACUGCUUUAGGCUAGGGGAAAACAGCAAAAAAAAAAGUGGAUGAAGUAUAUUCUUAGGGGAGACUUGGAGAGCAAACUACAGGAAGUGCUGAGGAAGGAAGAAGGACACCGUGGAUCAUGGUGGAAGGCCCACGUGGACGCAAAGCAGCAAGCACAGACACAGCACAUGACCCCAGGAGCCGAGAGCAGGAGACUGCACCAGCUUUGGAGACUGUCGGACACAUUGCUGGGGAAAGCCAGACAUGAGCCUCCUUCAGCACCGGACACAGCCUAGGAUCCUGCUGGGCUCAGGACCUCCCCUCCCAUCUCUAGUCCCACGAGGAAUGUUUGUUCCCGUUCUCUGCUGGGGGAGUUUUUUCAUGGCGGGGCCUCAUCCUCGACAAAGCUGUGGGACUCAGAGCCAGGCUCUAUGUGGCCCGACGAUCCUGCUGACCCCGGCCUCCUGCAGACCAUGGGCCGCCAUACCCCUGGCCACAUUUCUAGCUUUUCAAGUGGGAAGAAACCACCCCGCGUCCCAGGACUUGCACUUCUGUGGGCCAUCCUCAGCAAGACAUUUUCAUGGAUAUGAAACUGGACACCGAGUUGACGCUGAAGUUCAGCUGCUGGUAAUC